GCCUCUUUAGCUCAGUGGGAGAGCACUGGUCUCGUAAACCAGGGGUCGUGAGUUCAAUCCUCACAGGAGGCA
rnacentral:tRNA from 1 species